GCUAUCCAUGCUGUGAACUUGAAUAUAAUCCGAUAUAACGUUAAAUAUAAAGUUUAACGUUAAUUAGACCGAGGCUGCCGAAAUCAUGUUCAGUGUAACGUUAUGUGGGAUUAAUAAUUUCCCCUUUUCUCCCUCAAGUGGCAGGCUUGUAAAUUCUGUCAUCUGUUCAUUAUUGGUGUUGAUGGUGUUUUUCACAUGCAUGCUUUUUAAUGCUAGUUUAAUUCUCAAAUUGAUCUGAUACUUUCGUUUCACAAAAAGUAAACAAAUUGUUCACUUUCUUAGGGCCUGACAACCACCAGUUGAGUCCAUGAUUCAGGGAAGAGACAGUCUGGGCAGCAGCAACAAGACAACUAUUACAAGUAGAGAUGGGUUUCAAGAACUGACACAACCACAUAUCCUCCAAAUCAUCUCUGCGUGGAUGGCAGCAAGGAUCCAGGAUCAAGAGAUCAUUCUUCAUGGAGACUGUUCCACAGGAAGCAGUUUCUCCUGGGUGAAAAACUAAACCUGGUUGUUUCAGCAUCACUCA